GACGAACGCUGGCGGCGUGCUUAACACAUGCAAGUCGAACGGAAAGGCCCUGCUUUUGUGUGGUGCUCGAGUGGCGAACGGGUGAGUAACACGUGAGUAACCUGCCCUUGACUUUGGGAUAACUUCAGGAAACUGGGGCUAAUACCGGAUAGGAGCUCCUGCUGCAUGGUGGUGGUUGGAAAGUUUCGGCGGUUGGGGAUGUACUCGCGGCUUAUCAGCUUGUUGGUGGGGUAGUGGCUUACCAAGGCUUUGACGGGUAGCCGGCCUGAGAGGGUGACCGGCCACAUUGGGACUGAGAUACGGCCCAGAGUCCUACGGGAGGCAGCAGUGGGGAAUAUUGCACAAUGGGCGGAAGCCUGAUGCAGCAACGCCGCGUGCGGGAUGACGGCCUUCGGGUUGUAAACCGCUUUAGCCUGUGACGAAGCGUGAGUGACGGUAAUGGGUAAAGAAGCACCGGCUAACUACGUG
rnacentral:rRNA from 1 species